rnacentral:rRNA from 1 species
UAAUGGUUAAGUUAGAAAGGGCGCACGGUGAAUGCCUUGGCACUAGGAGCCGAUGAAGGACGGGACUAACACCGAUAUGCUUCGGGGAGCUGUAAGUGAGCUUUGAUCCGGAGAUUUCCGAAUGGGGAAACCCACUGUUCGUAAUGGAACAGUAUCUUUAUCUGAAUACAUAGGAUAUUGAAGGCAGACCCGGGGAACUGAAACAUCUAAGUACCCGGAGGAAGAGAAAGCAAAUGCGAUUUCCUGAGUAGCGGCGAGCGAAACGGAAUUAGCCCAAACCAAGAGGCUUGCCUCUUGGGGUUGUAGGACACUCUAUACGGAGUUACAAAGGAACGAAGUAAAUGAAGCGACCUGGAAAGGUCCGUCGAAGAAGGUAACAACCCUGUAGUUGAAACUUCGUUCCCUCUUGAGUGGAUCCUGAGUACGGCGGAACACGUGAAAUUCCGUCGGAAGCUGGGAGGACCAUCUCCCAAGGCUAAAUACUACCUAGUGACCGAUAGUGAACCAGUACCGUGAGGGAAAGGUGAAAAGCACCCCGGAAGGGGAGUGAAAGAGAUCCUGAAACCGUGUGCCUACAAGUAGUCAGAGCCCGUUAAUGGGUGAUGGCGUGCCUUUUGUAGAAUGAACCGGCGAGUUACGAUCCCAUGCAAGGUUAAGCUGAUAAGGCGGAGCCGUAGCGAAAGCGAGUCUGAAUAGGGCGUUUAGUAUGUGGUUGUAGACCCGAAACCAGGUGAUCUACCCAUGUCCAGGGUGAAGUUCAGGUAACACUGAAUGGAGGCCCGAACCCACGCACGUUGAAAAGUGCGGGGAUGAGGUGUGGGUAGCGGAGAAAUUCCAAUCGAACCUGGAGAUAGCUGGUUCUCUCCGAAAUAGCUUUAGGGCUAGCCUCAUGUUGUGAGAGUCUUGGAGGUAGAGCACUGAUUGGACUAGGGGCCCCCAACGGGUUACCGAAUUCAGUCAAACUCCGAAUGCCAAAGACUUAUCCAUGGGAGUCAGACUGCGAGUGAUAAGAUCCGUAGUCAAAAGGGAAACAGCCCAGACCACCAGCUAAGGUCCCCAAGUAUACGUUAAGUGGAAAAGGAUGUGGAGUUGCUUAGACAACCAGGAUGUUGGCUUAGAAGCAGCCACCAUUUAAAGAGUGCGUAAUAGCUCACUGGUCGAGUGACUCUGCGCCGAAAAUGUACCGGGGCUAAACGUAUCACCGAAGCUGUGGAUUGACAUCUU